GUCGGGCGUGGUGGUGCAUGCCUUUAAUCCCAGCACUUGGGAGGCAGAGGCAGGCGGAUUUCUGAGUUCGAGGCCAGCCUGAUCUACAAAGUGAGUUUCAGGACAGCCAGGGCUAUACAGAGAUUGGUUCUCUCUGUAUAGCUCUGGUUGUCCCAGAACUCACCAUGAAGAUCAGGCUGGCCCCAAACUCACAGAGCUCUACCUGUUUCU
rnacentral:sRNA from 1 species